rnacentral:tRNA from 1 species
ACUAUUUUGGCAGAAUUAAGUGCAACAGAUUUAGAAUUUGUAAAUAUGAUUAAUAAUCAUAGAUAGUA